GGGGAGUUAUGGUCGCCAAGGCUGAAACUCAAAAGAAUUGANGGGCGCUCACCCAAGCGGUGGAGGAUGUGGCUUAAUUCGAGGCUACGCGAAGAACCUUAUCCUAGUCUUGACAUGCUUAAGAAUCUCCCUGAAAGGGGAGAGUGCUCUUCGGAGAGCUUUUGCACAGGUGCUGCAUGGCUGUCGUCAGCUCGUGUCGUGAGAUGUCGGGUUAAGUCCCUUAACGAGCGAAACCCUUAUCUCUAGUUGCCAGCGAGUAAUGUCGGGGACUCUAGAGAGACCGCCGGUGUUAAACCGGAGGAAGGUGGGGAUGACGUCAAGUCCUCAUGGCCUUUAUGACUAGGGCUGCACACUGUCCUACAAUGCAACAUACAAAGGGAAGCCAACUCGUGAGAGCGAGCAAAUCCCAAAAAGUGUUGCUCAGUUCGGAUUGCAGGCUGCAACUCGCCUGCAUGAAGCCGGAAUCGCUAGUAAUCGCGGGUCAGCAUACCGCGGUGAAUAUGUUCCUGAGCCUUGUACACACCGCCCGUCAAGCCACGAAAGUGGGGUGCACGCGAAGUCGCUAAGCUAACCGAAGGAGGCAGGCGCCGAACGUA
rnacentral:rRNA from 1 species